rnacentral:rRNA from 1 species
UACGUAGGGAGCAAGCGUUGUCCGGAAUCAUUGGGCGUAAAGCGCGCGUAGGCGGCCCGGUCAGUCCGUCGUGAAAGUCAAAGGCUCAACCUUUGAAUGUCGAUGGAUACUGCCGGGCUAGAGUCCGGAAGAGGCGAGUGGAAUUCCUGGUGUAGCGGUGGGAAUGCGCAGAUAUCAGGAGGAACACCAAUAGCGAAGGCAGCUCGCUGGGACGGUACUGACGCUAAGGCGCGAAAGCGUGGGGAGCGAACAGG